AAGUCGUAACAAGGUCUCCGUAGGUGAACCUGCGGAGGGAUCAUUACACAAAUACAAUAUGAAGGCUUCGGCUGGAUUAUUUAUUUCACCCUUGUCUUUUGCGCACUUGUUGUUUCCUGGGCGGGUUCGCCCGCCACCAGGACCACACCAUAAACCUUUUUUGUUAAUGCAGUCAGCGUCAGUACAACAAAUGUAAAUCAUUUACAACUUUCAACAACGGAUCUCUUGGUUCUG
rnacentral:misc_RNA from 1 species